GGCCACACCUGUGGCAUAGGAAGCUCCCACAUUAGGGGCUGAAUCAGGGCUGCAGCUUCUAGCCUAUGCCACAGCCACAGCAAAGCAGAAUCCAAGCAGCAUCUGCGACCUACACCACAGCUCAUGGCAACACUGUAUCCUUAACCCACUGAACGAGGCCAGGGAUUGAACCCACAUCCUCAUGGAUUCUAGUGGGGUUUGUUACUCCUGAGCAACAAAGGGAACUCCCCAUUAUUAUUCUUGUUUUGAUGACUUCACCCAUCCUUCCUCCCUAGCCUACACAGUGUUUCAUGAUUUAAUAGUUCCUGCUCCCUACCCCGGGUUCAUCUUGUUCCAUUUCUUCACUGUACUCCAGCCUCUAGUCUUGUGUUAGCACCUCCUUCCUUAUUAGCAUCUCUGCCCUAUUCCCUCCUCCUCGAAUGUUCUUCCCAAAGAUAUUAACAUGAAGAUUACUUCUAAGACAGCUAGGCCUCAGCUUAAAUACCAUCUCCCAAAAGGGAGAGAGGGACUCCCUACCCAUCCACUCUAAGGGAACAAGAAUCAAUCUCCAGCAGGACCCCAGGUCUUGACAGUCUACAGAGCACAUGUUCACAUCUGAUAUUUUCUUUUCUUUUUUUUUUUUGUCUUUUUGCCAUUUCUUGGGCCACUCCCGCGGCAUAUGGAGGUUCCCAGGCUAGGGGUCUAAUCAGAGCUGUAGCCACGGGCCUACGCCAGAGCCACAGAAACGAGGGAUCCGAGCCACGUUUGCGACCUACAACAGAGCUCAUAGCAACGCCGGAUCGUUAACCCACUGAGCAAGGGCAGGGAUUGAACCUGCAACCUCAUGGUUCCUAGUCGGAUUUGUUAACCACUGCGCCACGACGGGAACUCCUGAUAUUUUCUCACUCAGUUUUCAUCUUGAUUACUAUCUGUCUCACUGCCCUACACUAUAAAUUGAAUGAGAACAGAGACUUGUUUCACAGCUGUAUCUAUAGCUCACAGAACUGGUCCCAGGUACUAGCAGAAGCAAGGAGGGAGUAGAGCAAAAAAGAGUAGUGGUUGAAAGAAGGGAGGGAGAGAGAGAAGGAACAAAAUCUGAGGUUGUAGGGAGUUCCCAUCGUGGCUCAGUGGUUAUCGAAUCCGAUUAGGAACCAUGAGGUUGUGGGUUCAAUCCCUGGCCUUGCUCAGCAGGUUAGGGAUCCGGCAUUGCUGUGAACUGUGGUGUAGGUCACAGAUGCCGCUAGGAUCUGGUGUUUCUGUGGUUCUGGCAUAGGCUGGUGGGUACAGCUCCUAUUAGACUCCCUAGCCUGGGAACCUCCACAUGCCUUGAGUGUGGGGCCAGAAAAGACCAAAAAAAAAAAAAAAAAAAAAAAAAAAGAAAGUAAGAAAUCUGAGGUUGUAAAGGUUACUACAAUUUGUUAGCGAACCUAGUCUUCUAUAUAAGCAGACAAUAAAUGAAUUCCUGUACCUAACUGCGUGGGAUCAUGAAAUAUGGUUUUAUAUGUAACACACACCCACAUUCACAAUUAUACAUAUGCAGGCUCUAUACCUUUCUCUGUCCACUGGAAUAUCUCAGAUGAACUCUGAGAGUGAACUGCUAGCCAAUGCUUCCAUCCACAGGACACAUCAACUCAUCCAUUCUUACUCUCCCUUAUUUAUAAAUUAAAUGGGCCACUUCAUUCCUUUUAGUCUGUUUUCUGUUAUGAUUAAAUGUGGUGUAUGAGGCAAAGAGAUUAGUCAAAAAUACUAAUCUGUAGGAAUGUUUAUUCUUUUUUCUAAUUUUUAACAUUAUUUCCCAACUUUGAUAUUCUAGCCAAGUCUCUUUAUUUUGCAAAAGAGAAGCUCAGAAUCUCAGCAAAAUGACACUGGCAGGGCUUCAUAAAACUUUUGUUUUAUGAAUGGAAUGGUAAUAGUUCAGACCCUUUCAUGUUUCAAAGUAUUAGAAUGUCCAAGAGAAGGGAGUAAUUAAAUGUGGCUGCUGUACAGUAGAGUAAGCAGUUUUAAUUCUCAACUCAAGUGCCAAAUAAAGAUGUAAAUACUUCAGCAAAAUGAGAAAGAGUCCAGGAAUCAUCUGUAUACCCACUUUCACACUAGCAAUAUGGUAAUGUAAAUAAAUACAUUUCGUAAUUCAAAUAGUAAAUGGUAAAUUAUAAAGGUACUGCUUAGCAGAGGAAGAAAACUAAGUUGUGCACAUGUUUUUAUAAGUUAUUUGAAUAGGUUUUUACCUGAUAACCUGAGAAAUCUUUUUUUUUCUUUUUUUUUUAGGGUCACACCUGUGGCAUAUGGAGGUUCCCAGAAAUGGCAAAAAGACAAAUAAAUAAAUAAAUGCCUGAAAAUAUGAAGUGAAGAUCUGCCAUAUGCAAGAAUAAAUUAUUAUAAUAGCCAUUAUACUAAUUUGUGAUAUGACUAAAUAUAGGAAAUACAGUGAAAAGUUUUAAAAAGCAGAGUAAUCAAAAGAAGAGAACUAUUCUUCAAAACAUAAUAAAUAUGGUAGUAAAUAAGGUGAUUUAAUUAAGUUGCAUGAAAUCCAGUUUCAUUGCAUCCACUUGUACUGAGUGGAGCUCUCAUCAAAUUAAAACACCCACUGGAAUUUUCCUUGGAAAGUUGACCCCUUUGCUCUGAAGUAAUUCUCACAUACCUGCCUAGGCUACUAGCCACAUGGACUUAGAGAGGGGACAGCAAUGACACCCAAAGUCCCCUUCCUGGUCUCAAAGGUCAACAGAGAGGAAACCUAGGCUAUGCCCUUCUUGGCAUUAGAUGUUAGAAAAGAUUUUGGAUUCAUUCUUAAGCAAACAAACAAAACAGUAUGGUUCCCAAUAUGUGGCUUAGGAAGAGAAUCGGGGUGAUGAGUCAACUAACCAGAAGAAUGACUAGGCUUGUCUUCUGGUCAAAGAAAUUCAUCUUACUUUCAUUAGCCCAAAUGCAUGCUGAGUCCUGUGUAAGACAAGCUUCUUGGAUAGCCUGGAUGGUUUAUAUUUUAUUUUAAUGUUCCAGAACCUACCUACAUAUGUGAAACAAUCGAGGACUUUUUACCACCUUGCAACCCAGAGGAAAAAACAGUCACUUGCCUCUUGUGUCCCAAAGGGAUAUGGUGGCUAUCAGGAAAUGAACUCACAAGAAUCCAGAUUUAUCUGUUGCCUCGCCCUCCGUUUUCUGCUGUUUGGUUUGUUCUUAAGAGGAGAGUCAUGAGGGAUCAAGGUAGUUCUCUAAGCAGCAUCUAGAGCAGCAGCAGCGCCUCCCUGUGACCAGGGCUCAGGUUUCUCACAGGCUUCCCACCCUUCGCCUCACAUCAAUAGAAUAGCAGGUUUGCCGGCUUGAACAGCCCUCCCCUUUCCCAUUAUUUCCAAAUUUGGAAGGCUUGCCCUUCCCACUGGCUGGAUUCUUCCUGGGGUCUAUACAGAGGGCCUGGUGACUGGGCUCAAUUGCUUUAUCUGAUUUAGAGUGCAGGGUACUAUUAGCAAAAUCAAAGCAGUUCUGUGUCAUAUCACCUUAAUCCAACAAAAGAACGGGCUGACCAGAGGCUGGGUUGCAGAUCUUCUGAGUGUUGUUCUACCCUCUGAGGGUCUUAAAUGAAAGCUGGGGUGUUUAUCUAGACCAUUCCCUCUUAGCAAUCACGGGAUUCCAAGUUUUAACUUCUGGCUCAGAAGAGUUCCACAAACUCUGCUCAGAUGCUUGGCUACUGAUGAGAAUUAGGCAAAUGAUCAAUGGUAAAGAGUAGUACCAAAUAAUUAAUCUCCUCUUUCUGUACUUCCGAUCUCUGGGAUCCUGGCCACGCAAGUGCUCACCAAUGACCACUUCUCCAAUGCCUUCAAAACAGAUUCUGUUUUGCCCAAUUUUCCUUGUUGUUCUUGGCAGGAAGGCUGAAGUGCAAUGAGCUAAUCCACCAUUUCCAAAGACAAUCAUUUCUCAAGUUUCAUUCUUUCCUUGAUAACACUGACUCUUACCUAAACCAUAAAGGCACACUCAGGGUGAACAUGCUUGAGGACCUCAGAAGACUAUCUACACCUUCAAGUGAAAACAGAGACUAUUUUUUAACACAAUACAUUCAAUACCAAAAUGACAUCCCUGUACAAAGUAAAUCAUACUGUAUCAUUUACAUAAAAACUAUGUCUCCAAAAAUGAUUACAAAGAGCACCAGGAAAGUUAACACCUCAGGCAGAACUACAGGUCCCCAUACAACACAAAGCAAGGACUAUGUCAUAUGCACGCAUCUUUCCAAACUAAGCAAGCUGAAAUUUCUGUCAAUUAGGCUCCGAACCCAGUCUCUGCCUUGGAGGCCAGAGUAUCAAACAUUCCAUGCCGCUCUCCCUUGUGUUCACCAGUCACCAAAUACAGUAUACUUUAAUGCUCUGAGGCAGGGUCAGCAAAUUUUUCUGUAAAGGACCAGAUAGUAUUUCUGGCUUUGGAUGGUUUCUGUUGCAAAUACUCAAUCCUGGCACUGUGCCAAGCAGCCAGAGACAACAUAUACAUGAAUGAAUAUUACUGCAUUCUAAUAAAAUUUUAUGAACACUAAAAUUGGAAUUUUAUAUCAUUUUCAUUUAUCAGAAUAUAUUAAAUUAUAAAAACCAUUCUUAGGUUGUGAGCUAUACAGAAACAGGCAGUGGACCAGAUCUGGCCCAGUGGCUAUAGCUGUUUGACCCCUGCUCAAAAGCAUUGUCAUUCCACAAAACCAAUCGAGUCUUUGGCUCUAAUUCUAAUAUUGACUUGUCAUUCUUCCUAAACCCUUCCAUUGUGCCUCUCAGAACAGUGUUCUCAACUGGAGCAUGCAUCAGAAUCAUCUGAAUCAAUUGAGGGCUUGUUCCAACAUAGACUGGAGGGCCUCACACCCAGGGUUUCUGACUCAGUAAGUCUAGGGAGGACUUGAUAAUUUAUGCUUCUAACAAGUACCCAG
rnacentral:lncRNA from 1 species